rnacentral:sRNA from 1 species
GUUUCAUCCUAGUGGGUACAAUAUAGCAUUCUAAAUCAAUUUAUAUAUACUUAUAAAUUAUGAAUUUUAAUUUGAAAUCUUUGGGUUAAUCUUGAUCUCUUUAGAUUACACAUUUUUUUUCUUGCAACGACCAAGAUUGCAUUUCCUGCGCGUAUUUAUUCACAUAGAGGAAACGAAAGUAUGUACAGAAAUUAUGUUGGUUUUCUGUUGCUUUGCAAAUACCAUAAAAUUCAUGAUGUAUUAUAGUGUAGGUACACCAGAAGUCUAGCUGACUUUCCUCCUCAUAAGGCUGAAAUCAAGGUGUCAGUCUCUUAGAAUCUUAUCUGAAGGCUUUGGGUAAAUAUUGUUUUCUAGGACCAUUCAAAUAAUUAACACUAUUUAGUUCCUUGUGGUUGUCGUACUAUGGGUUCUGAUUUCUUGUUGACCAUCAACAGAGAGCUAUUCACAUUUCCAUCUAUCUCCUCCACCUUCAAGGGCAGCUAUAUCCUGAUUAAUACUUCAAUGCUACCCACAUUUGAAGGAGAGGAUAUUAUAAGAGGAUGAAAAUCACUGGAGUCCGUUCUUAGAAUUUUGCCUACUACAGAUAGGUAGAGGUGUAUUUAUGAUUCUGGAAUUUCCCCAAGAUGGUUAUUGGUAAGGGACCUAACAUAGGACCUAGCUUUAUUUGAUUAUUUAAUAGUGGCAUACUUCUAAAUUAAUUAGUGACAUGCAUUUUCUAUGGCUCUUUUAAAAUCUGUUAUCCUCUUUAUGUUAAAGAUUGUCUUGAAGGUCACCUUGAAAUUGGUAAACAAAAAUAUUGAUUUUUUUCUACAUUCAUUCGAAGAUUAUUAAAAAUUUUAUGAAGCACGUGAUGGGUAACCUGAUCCUUACUCCAAAGGCCCUUCCCUCCGCUGUGGCUGCAGGGAGGUGGAGUUGCUUACUGAGUCCUGCAUGAGGGUGAAAGCAGCAUGGGCUGAGAUUACGAUAAGUUUCACAAAGAAUGUCCUUCCGAGUAACAGGGCUAAAGGUUCUGUAAUAGUGCUCUUAGCCCACCGAUUCUUGUAUAUUUUUAUGCCUUUCCCAAGUCCUGUUCUACCAGCCAUUUCCCAGUUGGCAAUGCCAGCUCUUGGGAAACAAACAACUGAAAGUCUGGUUGCCAUUUACCUCUGUUUGACUUUGGCUGUGGAAACCUAAAAUAGCCAUUGUAUGCCCAGAAAAGUUGCUUUCCUCAGGUAAAAUGACCACAUGCACAGUAGUCACAGCUCUUAUGUUCUCUCCUUGAAAAGCCACAUUCAUAUUCUAUGCCCUUACGAAAAGCCACCAUGUGUGUUCCUCAGUUCAUCUGUGCUGUAUUUGGCUUUCAUUCAUUGGAGAAAUAAAUUCCAGGCAGGAUCUCCAUCUUUGUUGUGCUUUCUAAUGACUAGAUUACCCUCUGGCUGACACCACCAUUUAAGGGGCCCUUUGACUGAUCCAUUUCCUUUAUACUGGUACUUAAUAUGCGUCAAAUUUGUGCCUUUUUUAAAGCUUAUAGUCUUCCAUUCAAUAUCGUUCCAAUGUGUCUUUUAAUGAGUCAGGCUCCUCUGACAUCCCUCCCUAUUCUCACCCCAUAGACCCCAUACAUGUAAAGUUACAUUCAGCAGAGCAAAGUUUCUCAAUACAGUCACAUUCAUACAGUGGCUCAUUCAGAGAGUGCUGGGAAUCGCCUGAUGAAGGACAGGGGGCAGUGAUGUCAUAAUCCCUUCUAUGAUUCUUUUGUGUGGAUUCAACAUCUACACUGAUGCCCCUUGAAAUAGUUUGACCUCUCAGCUCUGUGACCCCAUCUGUUAAUCACUUACCAGAAUGAAGUGCCAGAAGAAUGAAGAGACAUUUUGAGUCUCUUGACUAUUCACUAUAAGUUGAUGUCUAAGAUAAAGAAAUGGAAAUUUCUAUAUCAUUGAAACUUUUUCUAUUUUUUAUUACUUAUGAGUAUGAAUUUUCCUGUCAUACUGUCGAGGUCUUAGGUGUUGUUGUUCCCCUAGAUUCCAUCUGUGACUUUGAACUGUAUUUCAUCUAUGGACUGGGUCAUAUACCUCCAGGAAGUUCAUGUUCGUAAUUACUCGUGUGGUAUCUUUUCCUUCACAUUUUAGAUCCUCCUUCCCACUUACGAUAUUCAGUUACCAUCUCAAAGAGCAUCAUCAGUGGUGGAAGAAUAGUGAUUAUAUUAGGUGACAAAGUAGUGUGGGUGAUUAUUGUGAAUACUGAAGGUGACAUUAUUCAUCUGGAAGAUAAACAGAACAAGUCACACAAAAAAUUGUGUUAUACACUUUUUCCAGCUGUACUGUGAUUGGAGUCGUUCUGUAUAUUGUCAGCACAAGCCCCAUUUAGUGCUCAGAGAGGACAUUUGUAUCAACUAUCACAAUGUGAUGAUUGCUACAGCUUGCCCAGAGCAAAACUUGUGGUAAUAAAACCUUCUAGAUUGGAA